rnacentral:rRNA from 1 species
CAGUAGCCGCGGUAAUACGUAGGUCCCGAGCGUUGUCCGGAUUUAUUGGGCGUAAAGCGAGCGCAGGCGGUUAGAUAAGUCUGAAGUUAAGGGCUGUGGCUUAACCAUAGUACGCUUUGGAAACUGUUUAACUUGCGUGCAAGAGGGGAGAGUGGAAUUCCAUGUGUAGUGGUGAAAUGCGUAGAUAUAUGGAGGAACACCAGUGGCGAAGGCGACUCUCUGGUCUGUAACUGACGCUGAGGCUCGAAAGCGUGGGUAGCAAACAGGAUUAGAUACCCGCGUAGUCCCUGUCUCUUAUACC